CCUACGGGAGGCUGCAGUGGGGAAUAUUGCACAAUGGGCGCAAGCCUGAUGCAGCCAUGCCGCGUGUGUGAAGAAGGCCUUCGGGUUGUAAAGCACUUUCAGCGGGGAGGAAGGCGGUGAGGGUAAUAACCUCAUCGAUUGACGUUACCCGCAGAAGAAGCACCGGCUAACUCCGUGCCAGCAGCCGCGGUAAUACGGAGGGUGCAAGCGUUAAUCGGAAUUACUGGGCGUAAAGCGCACGCAGGCGGUCUGUCAAGUCGGAUGUGAAAUCCCCGGGCUCAACCUGGGAACUGCAUUCGAAACUGGCAGGCUAGAGUCGUGUGGAGGGGGGUAGAAUUCCAGGUGUAGCGGUGAAAUGCGUAGAGAUCUGGAGGAAUACCGGUGGCGAAGGCGGCCCCCUGGACAAAGACUGACGCUCAGGUGCGAAAGCGUGGGGAGCAAACAGGAUUAGAUACCCGUGUAGUC
rnacentral:rRNA from 1 species